CUACUCUCUGCUGUCUCAGACGAUGACAUCUUUGUCUUGUGUCGACCAGACGGCCACUGUAGCUUCUCCGAAAGAGAGGGGUGUGCGCCGUUAGUUGCAGUUCGCAACCUCACCACAGAUGCCACUAAAAUUUACACACUGCACCUUUAAACCCUUUGCCAAUUGAGCAAAAUGCCAUUAAGAUGAAUGGGAAUGCUAAUGGAUACAUUUCUCCAUUAAUACUCCUUAGGCCUUGAGUGAAAGUAUCGAAAAAAAUUAACAUUAAAAAUCAAACUUGCAAACGCUCUCACAGCAACAUACAUAUAUCUUUAAUAAAAAUCCAGACUGCCAGAAAAAGUCAAGGGUCAAGAACAUGGCUGAUGAAAAGCUUAAAUAAGUCUGACAGUAUCUUUCAUUUCUUCUGUGCCACAUUGACAAUAAUCAUCUGAAACAAGUCUUUGAAGUAGCCUCAAAUGCGCUUGAUCUGAGCAACCUCCAUUAUUUAAAGGCUUGCUAAACUUUGCUUUCUCCUCAAACACGGCGAACAACACAACAGCAUUGAAUCUAAAUGUAAAAAGCUCUGGCAGAAGUGUUUAUUUAUGAAAAAGGCAUCUCUCUGAGUGGUUUGCUCGUUGGAAAUGCGCUCUCGGAUGAUGACCUGUUCUGUGGUUAUUUUAAUGAGACUCCCAAGUCAAGGCGUCUUCUUUCAUUCAGUGCUGAGGAAAUGAAGGAAACGAGUUGGAACAUGAAUGGUAACUCACUUCAAUAUUUAGCCGUCUCACUCUCUCUGAUCUGCUUAUUAAGAGCACAAUUACCACAGACUCAGUGAACUCAGUUGAAUAAGAAUGCGUGAUUGUUUUUUUCCUCUGACAGUGAGUGUAAUCUCUUCAAAAGCACUGCACAUCAUUAGCUUCUGCUCCAGAGACGUGUAUUUUGUACAGGCAGCGGAUUUUGUUUCACUGAAACAACUGUUUCAAGCCCAAGGGACAACUUUAACAUGGGGUUAAAUUUCUAUAUCACUCACUAUACAUUAAAAACAACACAUAAAAACAAAAAAAAUAAUUUGUUAUUUUCUUUACUUACAAACUGUAGCCCACCCUCAGGCAACUCGGUGCAACACAUGCUAAAUCACUGGCACAUGACCUGCAACCAUUCCUGGACGACUGCCAUUGACUACAAGCUGGAAUGGAAGUGAUAAAACAUUGAACUGUGGGAGUUUCCACUGUACAUGCUCAGAUAAUCUGGUCUACAACCCUCACACAAACAACAACAACAACAACAAAAAUCUCCCCACAAGGUCAAAAAUGUCAGGACAGAAGAAAGCAAAGUGACAUCAUUAGAGCAGAAUGAUAUAGCACUGCUCCAGUGGAAGGGGGAUGAGGCAGGUACAGAUCAGGCAACUGGAACAUUCAAGAAUAAAUGACGGUGAGGAACGAGAGACGGGGAAAAACAGCCUCCACUGACACCCACGAGUAAAAAUUAAUUAUUAACAGGUUUGGCGAGUACUGGUGUGUUCAAAUCAUGUUAGAAUUACCAUAAUUAUGAGCUUCAACCAGGCACGUCUUUGUCAAAUUUGUAAUUAUAUGGUGCAAACUAUAAAUUUUAUGAAAGCAUCGACUUCUCUAAUUAUAACAGCUUCAACUGUAAAAAGAAUACCACUACAAAUACAUUAAUGUAUUAAUAAAGAAUUUUUACUGAAAUAUUAUUUUUAAUUAUUCUUUUGUGACUUGUUUUCCAGUUAAAAUAUCUAAAGAUUCUUAAAUCUAUUAAAUUUACCAGAGAAGCAACAAUGCAUAAGACAUUUGGGCUUUUUAUUUGUAUCUUAAAGCUGCAGUCUGUAACUUUUUUGGUCAAUUUUUGAGCAAGUACAUAACCAGCCGGUGUUCAAAACUACCUCCUUACCUUAGCCCAAUUCACAAUGGUAAGCUUGUAAUAAUGUUUUAUAUGGAUGCACCAAUACCGAUACCGAUACGUACUCGUAAAAAUACCCCCGAUACCAAAGACUGAUACCUCACGUGACAUAACUGACAGAAUUUUCCGUGCACAGAUACACAGGCGGCUGCAGCAGAAACAAUGUCAGCCUCAGAGGUGUGGAAAAUACUUCAAAAUUAAUGAUGACAACACACACAUUGCGAACUGCAUGCUUUCAAUCAUUUGUUAUCGAUUAGUGAAGACAGGAUAGGCGGAAUCGCGCUAAAUGACACAGACCAGAAGCGCGUGCUCUCUCUCUUUCUUCCACGCAAUCCCAGUUCUCUCUUAGACAGC